UUUCUUUUUUCUUUUAUUUUCUCUUCAUUCAUUUUUUUUGGUAUAAUUUUUCGGAAAUGCUAACUAACAACCUUCCAUUCGCAAGAUAAGUUAUGGGUAUAUUUCUCUAUUUUUUCUUGCUUCGCUAUGUAUUUGUUCGCUUGUAUAUAUAUAUUAUGCAAUGAAUCUGGUUAAAUGAAUUUAGUUGAUAUGCUGAUGUGUAUUUUAAUCCUUUGUGAUGGUCUGAUGCCUUUGUAUUAUGAAGAUUUUUUUUUUAAAGUUCCUUAAAACAAUUCAUCCGUAGCAAUUUUAAUCUUGGGUGACUUCAUAAACUUCUUUGUGAAAGGUGACUACAAUCUUCCAUUCGCAAGAUCAUUUAUGGGUAUAUUCAUAUGUGGUAUAGUGCUCCGCUGAUGAGUUCUUCCUUCCGCCUCCGUCAACCCUAUCCCCGUGCGUUCCGUCCAAAUCAGUUAGCACCGAAAGUAUGGUGGCAAGCGAGAUCCCUCCACGAAAAAGCUUCAAGGCUUGUUAAUGGAUUCAUCGGUAUAUUUCUCUCUUUUUCUUGAUACUUUAUGUAUUUAUGCGCAUGUGUACUUUAUAUAUUGAAAUGUGUAUUUGUAGAUUGAAAGGAAAGAGAGAUGAUUAUUAGGUGUUUGACAGUAUUGUUUUGGGGUACCAGUCUAACUCUAUCUAUUUCUGACUUGGUUUUGCCGAUGUUCUCGUCAACUCAAGAACAUUCACAAGUGAUCCAUAUCUGAUCAAAACCCUUUUGGUUAGAAUUUUGAAAUUGGCCAUAAUAUUUGUUUGUUAAAUUUAAUCGUGUACAUACAUGUUUGUUAGUUGGCUGGUUGAAAUUGGAUUGUCGUGGCAGUUUUAAAGUUAAAUGAAAUUAUUUAAAUGAUUUACUUUGAAUGAGACCAGAUUAUAUACUAUAAUGCAACACCAAUAGCCCCCCUCUUGUCAUGGAUAUUUGCAAAGUCUCAGGUUAAAGAAUCCAAUUGGUGAGUUGAUAGAUGUAAAAUGAGGAGUUCAUUUCCAAAUUGCAAAAUUCUCUAUGAUUUUGGUAAAUGUAUUUAAGGUUCUCAGUCUAUACAAUUGUUUAUCAAAAUUAAUGCUGCAUCUGUGAUGCAAUAAAGCCGUAAAUGUUUCAUGCUCAAAGCAGCGUAUUGUGAUGUCUAAAUUACUAGAAUUUGUUGUACAUAUGGCUACAUUUAUUCCCAUUAGAUUGAUUGGUUGUUGGUAGAUUUAAGAAAGUUCAACACAUUUCCUAACAAGGGCUUCGUGAUUCUAGCCAUUUACAUUGCUGUCGGCAACCAAAAAGCGCUUCGUGAUUCUAGCCAUCUUCAUUUUCGGUGGCAACCAACAAGGGCUUCGUGAUCCUGGCCAUCUCCAUGCAUUUAGGUAUUAAUUUUGUGAUUGAUCUCCACCUUUGUUUUGUUCUCAUUUUUUCCCAAUUAUUCCACAUUUGCGUUCAUUAAGUUCUUGUCUUUCUUUGUUGUUUUCUUGAUGAUAUUUUUGAAAAUGUUAAUGAAAGGCCACUUCAGCCGACUUUCGGCAAGAGGAGGGAGGGGUAUAUUUUUCUCUAUUUUUUUCGUGUGUUUCUACGUGUGUGUGUGUGUGUGUGUGUGUGUUAACAUCAGGUUUUUCUUUCAUGGAUUUAGGUAUUGUUUUCAUGAUUGAAUUGUCUGUCCUUGCUUUCAUUUCCAGCUUACUUGGGUGAGAGCCUCUCUUUUCUGUAUAUAAUAUAUGCAAUGACACCUUUGUGUUUUCAGUUUCUAUGCAGGUGAAUUUAGUUUGUUUGUUGAUGUUUAUGUCUUUGAUGUAUUUGUCAUUUGUGUAUCUUGUUGGAUCCCUAUUUUGUUAUCUGGUGCGUAAACAUUGUGAGUAAAGCUUCAAACUUUAGAAGAUCUAAUCUAAUGAAAAACCAUUAUAAAUGCUGGAAAAA